CAGUUUUCUAAAUAUUCACACCCAUAACCUCUCUUAAUUUUCAAACAAUUUUAUGCAGUAGGCUUUAUCUCCCCCAAUUUCUCGAUGAGAAAACUGAGUCCCACAAAGGUGAGGUGAUGUGUCCAAGGACCCUGAGCUAUAGGUGGCAGAGCCCAACAGAAGAUAAUUCGGGGCCCUCAUCUGCUGACUUCUAGCCACAGCUGCUUCCACUUCCCCACAUUAUCACUCAACACUGCAUACCUGGGCAGAGCUUUACUUUUACAAAGUAUUUCCGCAGACACUUUAUCAUUCGGUCCUCUCAGCAGCCCAACGAAGAGAGGCAGAGCAAAAAUUCCAGAGGAGCUCAAACGAAGAUCUUGUUCUGGUGUCAGAAGAGGGAACCAAAGGAGACCCCCAAGGGCCCCCAGGGGCACCGAGCAACCAGAUAUUCAGAAACAAAAGUGUGCAAAUUUAAGCAGUUUGCCUAAGAUCACCCAGUAAGUGGCUGCACCAGGAUUUGAACCUAGACCUAUCUUGUGCUGGAGGUUUGAUAUAAAACCAUCCACAAGAUCAAAAACCUUCCCAACUGAGAAAGCCUAGCAGAUCCCUAUCUCCAAGCCACGGUCCAAAAGACAGGCCAUGAUGGGCUGGCCUGGUGGUGUAGUGGUUAAGUUCCCACCCUCCACUACUGCGGCCAGGGGUUCACUGGCCCAGAUCCUGAGCUGGACCUACUCCAUUCAUCAGCCAUGCUGUGGAGGCAUCCC
rnacentral:lncRNA from 1 species